AGAGUUUGAUCAUGGCUCAGAACGAACGCUGGCGGCAUGGAUUAGGCAUGCAAGUCGAACGGGAGCAGCAAUGCUCCAGUGGCGCAAGGGUGAGGAACACGUGAACAACCUGCCUUCGAGUUGGGGAUAGCUUCUGGAAACGGGAGAUAAUACCGAAUAACAUCAUUAAGUCGCAUGACUUUUUGAUCAAAGCAGCAAUGCGCUUGAAGAGGGGUUCGCGUCCCAUUAGCUAGUUGGUGAGGUAACGGCCCACCAAGGCGAUGAUGGGUAGCUGGUCUGAGAGGACGAUCAGCCACAUUGGGACUGAGAUACUGCCCAGACUCCUACGGGAGGCUGCAGUCGAGAAUUUUGGGCAAUGGACGAAAGUCUGACCCAGCAAUGCCGCGUGCGGGAUGAAGGUCUUCGGAUUGUAAACCGCUGUCAAGAGGGACGAAACAUGACGGUACCUCUGGAGGAAGCCACGGCUAACUACGUGCCAGCAGCCGCGGUAAUACGUAGGUGGCGAGCGUUGUUCGGAUUUAUUGGGCGUAAAGGGUCCGCAGGUGGUUGGGUAAGUUUGACGUGAAAUCCCGGAGCUCAACUCCGGAACUGCGUUGAAAACUGCCUGACUGGAGUAUCGGAGAGGAGAUUGGAAUUCCAGGUGUAGCGGUGGAAUGCGUAGAUAUCUGGAAGAACACCGAAAGCGAAGGCAGAUCUCUGGACGAUAACUGACACUCAGGGACGAAAGUAUGGGGAUCAAACAGGAUUAGAUACCCUGGUAGUCCAUACCCUAAACGUUGUCAACUUGAUGUGAGAAGUAGUUUACUCCUUUUCGUGUCGAAGCAAACGCGAUAAGUUGACCGCCUGGGAACUACGGCCGCAAGGCUAAAACUCAAAGGAAUUGACGGGGGCCCGCACAAGCGGUGGAGCAUGUGGCUUAAUUCGAGGCAACGCGAAGAACCUUACCUGGAUUUGACAUGGAGAGGAAUCAGCUUGGAAACAGGUUGAGCCCGCAAGGGCCUUUUCACAGGUGCUGCAUGGCUGUCGUCAGCUCGUGCCGUGAGGUGUUCGGUUAAGUCCGGCAACGAGCGCAACCCACGUUAGUAGUUGCCAGCAGGUAAAGCUGGGCACUCUACUGAUACUGCCCGUGUUAAGCGGGAGGAAGGAGUGGAUGAUGUCAAGUCCGUAUGGCCUUUAUAUCCAGGGCUGCACACGUGCUACAAUGGCUGCUACAGAGGGAAGCGAAAUCGCGAGAUGGAGCAGAUCCGUAAAAACAGCCUUAGUUCGGAUUGCAGGCUGCAACUCGCCUGCAUGAAGCCGGAAUCGCUAGUAAAGGCGUAUCAGCCACGACGCCUUGAAUACGUUCCCGGGCCUUGUACACACCGCCCGUCACAUCAUGGGAGUUGAUUGCACCCGAAGCUGCUGACCGAACCUGCAAAGGACGGAGGCAUCUAAGGUGUGGUUAAUGACUGGGAUGAAGUCGUAACAAGGUAGCCGUUGGGGAACCAGCGGCUGGAUCACCUCCUU
rnacentral:rRNA from 1 species